rnacentral:rRNA from 1 species
UACGUAGGGAGCAAGCGUUGUCCGGAAUCAUUGGGCGUAAAGCGCGCGUAGGUGGCCACAUAAGUCCGUUGUGAAAGUCAAAGGCUCAACCUUUGAAAGCCGAUGGAUACUGUGUGGCUAGAGUACGGAAGAGGCGAGUGGAAUUCCUGGUGUAGCGGUGGAAUGCGCAGAUAUCAGGAGGAACACCAAUAGCGAAGGCAGCUCGCUGGGACGUUACUGACGCUGAGGCGCGACAGCGUGGGGAGCAAACAGG